rnacentral:rRNA from 1 species
GAUGAACGCUGGCGGCGUGCCUAAUACAUGCAAGUCGAGCGAACGGACGAGAAGCUUGCUUCUCUGAUGUUAGCGGCGGACGGGUGAGUAACACGUGGAUAACCUACCUAUAAGACUGGGAUAACUUCGGGAAACCGGAGCUAAUACCGGAUAAUAUUUUGAACCGCAUGGUUCAAAAGUGAAAGACGGUCUUGCUGUCACUUAUAGAUGGAUCCGCGCUGCAUUAGCUAGUUGGUAAGGUAACGGCUUACCAAGGCAACGAUGCAUAGCCGACCUGAGAGGGUGGUCGGCCACACUGGAACUGAGACACGGUCCAGACUCCUAAGGGAGGCAGCAGUAGGGAAUCUUCCGCAAUGGGCGAAAGCCUGACGGAGCAACGCCGCGUGAGUGAUGAAGGUCUUCGGAUCGUAAAACUCUGUUAUUAGGGAAGAACAUAUGUGUAAGUAACUGUGCACAUCUUGACGGUACCUAAUCAGAAAGCCACGGCUAACUACGUG